UACGAAGGGGCUAGCGUUGCUCGGAAUCACUGGGCGUAAAGGUGCGUAGGCGGGUCUUUAAGUCAGGGUGAAUCCUGGAGCUCAACUCCAGAACUGCCUUUGAUACUGAAGAUCUUGAGUUCGGGAGAGGUGAGUGGAACUGCGAGUGUAGAGGUGAAUUCGUAGAUAUUCGCAAGAACACCAGUGGCGAAGGCGGCUCACUGGCCCGAUACUGACGCUGAGGCACGAAAGCGUGGGAG
rnacentral:rRNA from 1 species